rnacentral:lncRNA from 1 species
GAGACCCAAUCAGGAAAAACCGAAUUAAACCCUGGAAUUGAUUGGCCAUGCUGACCAGGAUGACUCUGCCACUUAGAUGUUAAUAAAUCAAAUGAAUAAAAUUAAGAUGGGGACCCGAUGAGGGAAGCGGGUGGUAGAGGAGGGCUGGUGAGUGGGAGAGGGGAUCAUGCUCCAUGCCCGUGAGGGUGAAUGUCCCAGCCCCAUGGCAGGGAGUGUCCCCUCACCGGGGGACCUGGAAAGACUGGCUGAGGAGGCGGAGGGAUGCUGUUGCCUCCAGUGACCAGGUGCUCCGUGAGGGGUCCGGCAAAGUUGAGACUGGAGUGGAAAGGCUGGAAUGGAAGUGGGCGGCCCCUUUCUGGGGAAGUGGGAAGAACAGUGAUGCAGUCAGUGAUGAGAUCUUGGUUCACGCCCAUCUGGAGUUUUCCAUCUGUUAGCCCUGUGACUUUCGGAUGUCUCUGAACCACUCACAGACUACUUCUGUCUCUUUGAAAUAGGGGGCAGAAUUACCCCUCCCUCACAGGCUUGUUGGAUGAUCAGGGUGCCAGUUUCCUGAAAGGGCUUUGAGGACCACUGCUGCUGCUGCUAAGUCGCUUCAGUCGUGUCCGACUCUGUGNNNNNNNNNNNNNNNNNNCCCACCAGGCUCCCCCCGUCCCCGGGAUUCUCCAGGCAAGAACACUGGAGCUCAAUUAUUGUCUUUUCUUGUUGACGACUCAGCUAUGCGGGGACAGUUAACAUCGAUCCUGCUGCACAUCAGGCCCCCUGAAGAGCAGGUGAAAAGCAGAGUCUCGUGGGGUCCUCUCUGCCCAGACUUUGAUCCCCUAGGUCUGGGGCAGAGCCUAUGCAGAUACAGUUUUAUAAACUUUCCGUGACUCUGAGGGGAUUCCAGGCCCUUUACCCCUCCCAGUUUGGGGGAAUGUAAACCCUUUUUUUCCCCAGUGGGUGAGGGAGAAGGCAGGUGACUUCCGCAUUAGGCUUUGGUUUGCAGACCUCAGUCUCAGCAGCCCUGUCUCAUCCACCUUUCCCAGCUGGGGUACCAUUGCUUCCUGCUGAUGUCUGUGCUGUAUCCUAGCUUCUGGGCGGCCUCCUUCCUGUCUGCUCACCUCUGCCUGCCCAGUGCCUCCAACCUCUCCUCCAGGAAGCCUUCCCUGAUGGCAGGACCCACCCUGACUUCCCUCUUCUCUGAGCGCCAUGUGUACCAGUGGGUCAGUUCAAACUUAAAUCAAACUCUCUAAUUUUCUAAAUCUGCCCAAAAUGAACUCCUUUGGAAUGUGAAAAUAUUCUGAUCCAAACCUGCCCUGAGCAGGCAUUAUGGGCUGUUUGGGCCAUCAGCUGAAUUACUGCUUUGAUAGAUGAAAGAGGAGAGACUCCAGCAGCUAAAAGGAGGUCAAGGGGUUCUCCAGCCUCAAGGCGGGAGGCUGCGCAGUGAGGCCCAUGUCACCAGACCCCCGUUCCUUCGUGGUUCUUCCAGCUGAGCU